rnacentral:lncRNA from 1 species
AAAUGAAUUUUACUUUCCCAAAAAGUGCAUCACUUUUCCUAGUUUGCUUCCUAUGUUUCACCCAAUUUUCUUCCAUUUAUUGUGAGAAGAAAGUGUCCUUGGCUUUGUAUUAUGAAACUCUAUGUCCUGGUUGUUCUGAUUUCAUUAUUAAUUACUUACCUAAGAUAUUCAAGAAUGGGAUAAUUGAUAUUGUUGAUCUUAAACUUGUUCCAUGGGGUAAUACUAGGCUUCAAAAAGACAACACCUUCAAGUGCCAGGUUCUUCAAGAAUCUUUUUCUUUAUAUGUUAUUAUUAUUAUUAUUUUAAUAACUGUGAAGUUCGAAUCAGCUAGCAUGUAUUUAGAUUAGUUCUACGAGAUAUCUCUCAACAGUGGCUAAGCCAGGAUUGACACCAAGGAGUUCACAAGUGAAUAGAUGAACUAAUCGAAGGGGUUCGACAUCUACUGUAUAUACAUAAAAAAUAAUUUUAAUCAUGUAUAUAUAGUAUAAUUUUUCAUCAAAGGGGGUCGGAUGAACCCCUACCUUAUAUGCAGCUCUGCUCCUGUCUGUCAAUAUGUACCAGGUAAUUUUGUCUAGCAAGGCUGGCUAGAACAAAUAAGAAGAAAUGACCUGAUGUUUGUCUGGAAUUUAAUCCUGGGACCUCGUGAUGUUCAAGACAUUUUAUAUAUAGCAUGUAAAUCGAUUCAAGUUUAUGGAUUCAUAUUUACUAUUCCUUGCAAUCCUACUAAAAUUUAACACAUAAAAAAUGAUUUAAUUGUUUCUCCUAUCUUUUGUAGUUUUUAGAGACUUUGAUUACUAUUUGUUAUUUUCUUUGCAGUUUAGAGAUUUUGAUUAUGCUAUGUUGAUAACAAGACUUUGAUUAUUUUCUUCAAUAGUCGAUUACUUUCUGAUGUUGACAUUCUGAUUAUUUUUACAAAUGUCUUGUUACAUUUUUUCAGUUGUAUUUGCUUUUUUAGCAUUCUCAAUUCUGAACUUUCAACUUUUAGUUUUUUCUUAACAUAUUUUUAAUUUAUUUUUAAAUUAUUAUUUUUAUCUUUUAUUUCUGUUUAGGUUUUUUGUGAAAAGUCUUAAAUUGGAAGGUAAGCUGCAUAAGAUAUAUAUUUUCCCAUAAGCAAUUUAUACACAAUAAGAAAAAAUUAUACACAAUAUAAAAGUAGGCUAAAAGGAAAUUUUUAUUGAGAAAAAUGCUAAAUUUGUUAUUUGAUAAGAAGUAACAUCAUGAUAAUGAAUUCUCAUAAUCCUUAGAAAUUGAACAUAUUUAUUUAGUGGUAUUCUAAUUCACUUUAUUCAUUAUUAAGAGAUGUGAUAUUUAUAUUUAAUUUGGUAUAUAGUAAUUAUCUUUUAUCAUUCUUUAUUUUCAUUUUUUUUUUAAAUGAAGUAACUUAUUUUUCAUUCGUGGAUAGAGUAGUUUGAAUCAUUAUAAUUGUCAAGUGUCAAUUGAUAAUAAUGCAUGAAAAGAACUAUAAAUAACUUUUCUAAUGGAUUGAAAUAAUAUUCAAUCAAUAUUUAUUGAUCAUGUGGAUGUUUGAAAUAAAAUAUUAUUUCGAAUGAUUAUUGACAUAAUUAAUUUGAAUCAUAUAUGAUUAUCUAAGAGUUAAAGGACAUGUUAAUUAUAUUCAAUCAAUUUUUGAGCAUUAAUUUUUAAUUUUUAUCUUUUUUCCUUGAACAAAAGUUAUUUUACAUCUUUUCUCUUACUGAAAAAAUCGAUAAGUGCAUGUGAGAAUUACUAUGAAACUAUUUAUCGAAUGAUUCAAAAUCAAAAGCCAAAAACUUUUAUCUUAUAUUUUUUAUUCUAUAUUCUUUUGUGACCGCGUGAAGUACAGAUAAAUUUAUUGAGUUUUAAAUACUUCCUCCUUUUGUUUUUACUCACCACCUUUCGACAUGACACAUUCAUUAAAAAAAUAAUUAUUAUUGUACCGAGUUUACAAUAGUACCUCUAUUAAUUUAUAUUCAUUACUAAUUUAUAUUUAGUAAUAGGUAAUGAAAAAUAAUUUGGAAGAUAAGUAAUUAAUACUAACGGUAAUAUGAUUUUUUUUCUUAAUUUGUUAAAAAUAUCAAAAAAAUAAAAAUUAAAUUAAAAAAAUGAUAAAUAAAUUGAAACGAAGAGUGUAGUAGAUGGAUGAAUCAAUCAUUAAUCAUAUCAUUGGUGUGUUUCGUAGUUUAAGUUAAGAAGCAACUUAUGCAUUUUCCAUUAAAAAAAAGGAAUCUUAGCACUAUCCAUCAAAUCGUGAAAUUCGGAAUCAAAAUAAGUCAAAAUAUGAAUAAAGUAAUUAAAAUAUGUUAUUUCUUUAAUUAAUUAUUAAAAUAAGUUAAAUAUAAUAAUUUAUGAUAUUUUAUCUUAGUAUUUUAACGUUGAUUUGAUGGAAGUGAACAAUAAUUUUUUUUUUGCAAAACGUAAGAAUUUAUAACGUUUUACAAAAAAGAUAAAAAAGAAAAAAAUAAUGUGUUGUCAAAUCAACAACUUUAUAUCAAAUCUUGUAAAUUAUAAUAAAUUCUUACUCACUCUAUUCCAUUUUAUGUGUCGCCAUUUAAUUGGGCAUGAGGUUUAAGAAAUAAGGGAAGACUUGAUAAAGUUUACCAAAUUAUCCUUUAUUAAAAAGUGUGUCAAUUUUAUUUUUUUUUAUUAAGUGAGACCAAUAAGGAUAAAGGGUAAUUGUGCCUUUAAAAAGUUGUCAAAUAAGGAAAGGUGACACUUAUUUUGGGACGGAUUAAAAAGGAAAUGAUGCCACAUAAUUUGAGACGGAGGGAGUAUAAUUUAUAACUCGUAAUAAUUUAUACCCAUAAAUAUAUAAAGUAUUAUAUUUAUAAUAGAAAUAUACAAAGUAUGUUAUAUAUAAAGUUUAUACCAUGUAUAUACCAUAUACACACAUAUAUAAAUAUACAAAGUAUUAAGAAACAUACUAAACAUAUUUAUAAUAUAAAUAUACAAAGUAUGUUAUAGAUGAAGUUUAUAUCAAGUAUAUACCAUAUACACGCAUAUAUAAAAAUAUAAAGUAUAAAGAAACAUACUAAGCAUAUUUAUAUAUUUAUGGUAUAUGAUAUAAUAUACCAUAAAUAUGCAAAGCAUGUUUUACAUAGAAAUAAUUUAUUCACACAUAGUAAAAUCUUUCAUGUAUAAGAAAAUUAUAGAAAUAAAUUAGCGGCAUCCUAAAAUUUGAUAACAACUCAUCAUUUCCUAUUUUUUAGGAACGGAAAAUGAAGGAAAUAAAUUAAAUAAAUUCCUAAAAAACUAAAUUUGUUUGAAAGAUAAUAUUUGUUACCUUAAAAACAAGAAACAGUGAUCUGUUAAUAUAACAUUCAUAUUUAAAAUUUUCAAAUAUGAGAAAACGACUAUUAGUAUAAAUAUUAUAUAUGUCAUAAUUGAAAUUCAUUAAAUAUGACCAUGUAUAUGUAAUUAUUUUUAUAAUAGUGAUUAAUUGUGUUCUUUUUUCAUUGGUAGGUAAAUUUUAAUUGGGUGAUUUUGAUAGUUUAUAAAAGUUAGGGCAUAAAAUCAUAUUUUAAAAAGUUUUUUCGAAAAUCGAUUUUUUUUUUUAAAAAAGACAUGGCCAAACACAACUCCAACUCCAAUUCCGAAAAAUUUUAGUUUUCAUGGCCAAACGACUACUUAAUAACACCAUUCAUUCUUGGAUUCCAUAAAAAACAUCAUUACGAACAAAUAUUAAGGUAAGAAAAACUUUUGACAAAAUGAAGCAGUAAUUUUUUCUUUUUAGUUUUUUUUGUUAAAAACAAAAUAAAUUGUUACAAUUUAUAAAUUGUAAUAUUAUAACAAUUUAUUACAAUUUAUAAGAUUUGACCUAAAACUAUUGAUUUGACAAUACUGUUUUUUUUUUUUCUAUAAAACGUAAGAAUUUCUUAUAUGUUUUAUAAGAUAUUAUAAAACACAAGAAAUUCUUAUAUUUUUUUAAAAAAAUUAUACCGUUCAAUUUCGUUAAAUCACUAUUAAAUAUUAAGAUAACGUAUUAAAUUAUUACAUUUAGCCUAUUUUGAUAAUUAACUAAAGAGAUGAUUUAUUUUUAUCACUUUAUUUAUAUUUUGGCUGACUUUAGUUUCAAGUUCUCAAAUCACGCUUGUUAUUAAAGAUUCAUACAUUCAUCCAAUAAUGAAUCUUACCAACCAGACUGGCUAUGCAUUUGGACUUGGUGUAAAUAUUUCCAACUUUGAUGUCCCUAUCUCAUACUAUUUUCAAAGAUUAUCCAAUUUAUGAUUUUUUUUUUUUAUAUAUGUAAUAUUCUCUUUACAUUCUUAAUGUUAAAUAAGUACUGAAAUUAAGAGCCUGUCAAAAAUAAUUUUUCUAUUUUAUUUGAGAUAGUAAUAUAAAUUAUGUAUAUUUUACCUUCCUAAAUUCCACUCGAUGAGAAUACAUCAGAUAUGUCAUUUUUGUUGGUGUUGUAUUCUUAAUUUUUAAUUCUUAAUGUUAUAUAACAACAUAAAUUAAUAGGUUAAUUACCAAAAAAAAUAUAAAUAGUAAAUAUACAUUGUAAUUUUGUGAUAAAAAAUGCAUUACUUUUUUAUUGCCCAAAAUUUAAGUUUAACCAUAAAAUGAAAAAUUACUUUUUUUCGUAUAACAUUGUAUGUAUAUAUAUGUGUGUAUAUAUAUAUAUAUAUAUACUGUUGUAUAUUCAAUAACAAUCUUUUUAUUGUAUUGCAUAAAGUCAUAUGUAUAAUUAUUAAUAGUAUACAUAAUUAUAUAAAUAUAUACAUAUGUAUAUAAAAUGUUUAAAUAUUGUAUCUAUAUUGUAUAAAUUAGGGUAUAUAUCGAUCGGUUCGAUUCAAUUUUAUAUAUUAUCGAUUUCAAUUUUUAAAUAUGUUAAAUCAAUAAUCAAACUAAUAGGAUAUUUUUUAUCGAUUUUUGAUUUAUCAAUUUUUAGUCUUUAUUAAUUUGGCUUAGUCAAUAAAAAAAUACUCAUAAAAUAGAAAUAUAAAUAAAAAAAUAUUUAUUUAGAUAUUCCUUGAAUUCAGUUAUCUUUACUCAUCAUUCAUCAUUUCAGUCCACUUGCUCUGUCCCGGCUGGAAUCCCAAGAACCAACAAGGAAAAAAACAAAUUACAAAUAAAUAAUAAAAGAUCCCAAAUUCAAUCUUGUUAAAAAAAAAAGAAGGUCCCCCACAAAAUAAAAAAUAAAAAAAGUCCCAAAAUAAAAUAAAGGACUAUUUUAUUUAUGAAAGUUCAAUUUUAGAAUUUUGAAACAUCAAACCUUAACAAUGACUUUAAAAAAAUUCAUGCUGAAACUUCAAAGGAUCAUUUGGUGUGAGGAUUAUAAGAGAUAACAAAUCUCAAAAUAAAAUAAAGGACUAUUUUAUUUCAUGUUUGACAUAAAGUAUUAGUUAAUAUCAAAAUUAUUUAUCUCAUCAUUUACACUAUAGUAAUAAAAUAAAUUAUCCAUCUAUAUAAUAAAAUAACUAAUUUUAAAAUAAUUAAUAUCAAAAUUAAUAAUUUUAAAAUAAUUCUUUCCCAAUCAAAGUAUCAUUUAUCAUUCUCUUGUUGGCUCCUCUCACUUCAUUCCACAUAGUCUGUCCUGGUUAGUAUCCCAAGAACCAACAAAGAUAAAAAAAAUAAAAAUAAAUUAUAAAUAAAUACUAAUAAAAGAUCCCUAAUUCAAUCUUGUAGAAAAAAAAAAAAGUACCCCACAAAAUAAAAAAACAAAAAAGUCUCCCAAUUUCCAUUAUCCAAAAAUGAAUAGUGUAUCAUUUUCUCUAGUUUGCUUUCUAUGUUUCACCCAAUUUUCUUCCAUUUCUUGUGAGAAGAAAGUGUACUUGGCUUUGUAUUAUGAAAGCUUGUGUCCUUACUGUUCAAAUUUCAUUGUUAAUUAUUUACCUAACAUAUUCAAGAAUGGGUUGAUUGAUAUUGUUGAUCUUAAACUUGUUCCAUGGGGUAAUACUAAGCUUCUAGAAAACAACACCUUUACAUGCCAGGUUCUUCAAGAAUCUUUUUUUCUAUGUAUUAUUAUUGUUAUUUUUUUACUAACUGUGUUGUUUGAGUCAGUUUGUGUGUAUUUAGACUAGUUCCAGUGCCAGGUUCUUCAAGAAUCUUUUUUUCUAUGUAUUAUUAUUAUUUUUGUAAUAACUGUGAUGUUCAGACCAACUUCUAUGCAUUUCGACUAGUUCCACGAGAUAUCUGUCAAUAGGUAUCAGGUAUCUUUGUCCAUCAAGACUGGCUAGAACAAAAAAUAACAAGAAAGCACUUGAUGUUUGUCUGGGAUUUGAUCUUGAGACCUCAUGAUGUUCAAGCCACCUUAUAUAUAGCAUGUAGAUCUAAGAUUUAAGUUUUAUGGAUUCAAUCUUAAAAUUAUGCAAAGGGUAGCGUUGGAGUAACUGGUAAAGUUGCUGCCAUGUGACUAGGAGGUCACGGGGUCAAGCUUUGAAAACAACCUCUGGGAGAAAUGCAAGGUAAGAUUGCGUUCAGUGCAUCCUUGUAGUGAGACCCUUCCCCGGAUCCUGUGGAUAGUGGGAGCUUUAGUGCACUGGGCUGUCCUUUUAAUCUUAAAAUUAUGAAAUUCAUAUUUACUACUAAAAAAAACUGUGUUCAUGAGUGUCUAUCAGGAUCCUGUGGAUAGUGGGAGCUUUAGUGCACUGGGCUGUCCUUUUAAUCUUAAAAUUAUGAAAUUCAUAUUUACUACUAAAAUAAACUGUGUUCAUGAGUGUCUAUCAGAAACAGUCUCUCUAAUUCCGGUGUAUCCCGUCCAGACCCCACUUGUGGGAUUACACCGGGUAUAUUGUUGUUGUUGAUGAUGAAAGUACGUGUUCAUGAGCUGAAGGUCUAUCCGAAUAGCGUCUCUACCUCACAAAGAUAACGUAAGGUGUUCGUACACUCUACUCUCCUAGAUCCCACUUGUGGGGUUAUAUUGAGUGUGUUGUUGAUGAUGAUGGUGGAAGUACUGUGUUCUGAUGAACCCGGUAAUCAAAAGUUGUAGUUACCCUUAGCUGAGGUUAUGUUAGCGUUAAAACUGCUAAUAGAAGAUGGAAAUAACUAGUUAAAGUAAGCAAAAAGGGAUAACGAACAACAACAUACCUAGUAUAUUCCCAUAAAAUGGGGUCUGGGGAGGGUUAGUGUACGCAUUCCAUACCACUACCAUAGAGGUGAGACAAAGAGGCUAGACAAAAACAGUCUGGAAAAAAUAGUAAAGGAACAAGAAACAAUAGGUAUGAACACGCCAAAUAAUAACAUAAACAAGACUAUUACCAAGUAAUACGACAAACGAUAACACACUCUGAAACAAGACUAGCACUAUGGCCACUAGCACGGAUAACAAAACGAAGUCCUACCUACUAGCAGGGACGCACUCCUUCUUUAAUCCGCAUCCUCCACAUCUUCCUAUCUAGGAUCAUGUCCUCGGUAAGCUGAAGUUGCUCCAUGUCAUGUCUAAUCAUCUCCCUCCAAUGUUUCUUUUAUCUCUUCCUCGUCUGAAACCAUCCCUAGCGAGGAUUUCAAUCUUUACAAAAUAUAAAUGCACUAUAGGAAAGAACCUCAAUCUGAGUUAAGCGGAUCCAAAAUUUGUACUUGAUUGAUUUUUUGGUUGAGUUCAUACUAUCAAACCCGUUUUCACUUUUUAAAACUACGGGUUCAAAACCUAAUAGUUUUUUGAAGUUUUAAUAACUUUGCACAUUCCAAAAUAAUGGGUUUAGUUGAACACAGUAAACUAGGCUCCAGCCACCUCAGAGUUUAGAGUGUGAUAUUUAAAAGACAUACUCAGUGUCAUCUCACAAGUGGUGUUUGGGAGGGUAGUGUGUACGCAACCUUACUCUUGCCUAGUGAAGGUAGAGAGAUUGUUUCCGGUAGACCUUAGGUAAAACAUAACAACAAUCAGUGAGAGAAAGAAUACAGUAGUCCAGGGGCCAUGCAAAAAAUAGUGGGGAAAAGAACAGUAACAACAAAUAACAAUGAUAACGGAAACAAAGCAAACAAUUUUAACAUGUGCAAAAUUGUAUUUUAAGAAGGAGAGCCUUGGAGUGCUGCCAUGUGACCGGGAGGUCACGGGUUCAAGCCUAGGAAACAACUUCUGCAAGGUAAGAGUGCAUACAAUAGAUCGUUGUGAUUGGGCCCUUCUCAGAGCCUUGCGCAUAGCGUGAGAUUUUAGUGCACUGGGCUGCCACUUUUGUCUUUCAGGAACAAUCUCUCUACCUCCCCGAGGUAGUGGUAAAGUCUGCGUGCACUUUACCUUCCCAUCUCACUUGUGGGAUUUUACUGGGUAUGUUGUUGAUGUUAUUUUUGUUGUUGCAAAAUUUAUUUCAAAAGAUCAAGAAAUGAAUGCUUGAGCUCACACAGAAAAUAGAUAUUUUAGCUCUCCUACUCUAAAUUUCAGCAUUAUUUGCGAUAGGGAGAGUAUUACAAGUCACAAGGCUCAAAUUUAAAUUUUAAAGUGUGAUGUUAUACAUUUUUAAAUGUUUUUGUGUAUGUAUUGGUUGAACAAAAAAGAAGUGAGUUCAAUUGAACCAAUCGAAAAGGAUUAGAUCUGUUUCUGGGAUAUUAUUUGGCUAAUUAAUUUAUGUUGUGCUUCUUAUGUAUAAGAAUAGCAUCAAGCACUCUUAGGAGAUUUAUGAAAUUCUCUUGUUGUCGCAGCAUGGAAAAGAUGAAUGUUUUCUGGACGUUGUAGAGGCGUGUGCAAUUAAUGCCUGGCCAGAUUUGGUAAGCUUCUAAUCAAAGUUGAGCAUUUUUUUUGGUAAUUCUAGUUUGUCGGUUGUAAAGCUUAAAGGCAUCACUAUUCAAUUCAUUUGAAGCACGUUCAUUUUGAUGUAUACAAAGAAAUAGUCCCUGCAUUAUCAAUCUACGUGUUACUAAUUCGUACAUUACUAAUACUUGCAUAACUUGGUCGAACUCUCCAAAAAUUUUACCGCACCCAUGUCGGAUUCUCCAAAAAUGCACUACUUUUGGAGUAUCCAACAUGCAACCGUCAGACUUUUUUGAAUCUGAGCAACAUAGGUUGAAACAAACAACCCCCUAAAAGAUAUAUGUGUUGUAUUUGGGAGUUAUUUGAUAAAUGAUUGGUAGCAUGUUACUUUUAUAUCUCUCCGAGGAGACUAUUCUAAAUUCUAGUUGCAUUUUUAUUGGGUCUUCGUUGCAGAAUGGACACUUUCCUUUCAUUUACUGUGUCGAAAGUCUGGUCUAUCAUAGGAACUAUACCCAGUGGGAAACAUGUUUUGAAAAGCUGAAUUUGAAGAAAAAGCCAGUUACCGAAUGUGUUGGCAGUGAGCGAGGGAAAGAUGUUAGUUCUCUGGGUAUUAUUUCUGAAUUACGUUGCUGUAAAGAUUCGCUUUGGGUUUAAAUAAAUUUAGUAUCUAUUUGGAAUGUAUGAUUUCACAUCAUAAUGUGCAAAAAAAAAAAAAGAACUUUUGUUUUCCAUUGUUGUGUUAUAUGCUUAAUCUAUAUAUGUUGAACAUAUGAAUAUGAAGAAGAGGAAUUUCUUUAAGUUGACUAUUGUCUGCUCGCUUUAUGCAUCCAUGUAUAUAGAAGUAAUUGAAUGUAUUCCUCACGAAAUUAAAUUUAAGUAGACAGUGAAAAAAAUAAAGUAAAAAGAAAGCGAAAUAUUCUCUGUUAUGUGUUGCUUCAUUAUCAUAAUAGUUAUAGUUCCACCUUUAUGGAUAUAUCUCCUCUUUCUUCCUCUUGGAUAUAUCCUUAAAUGUGUUCGAAAAAAUAGCACAUAAAAAUACUAUUCGCGAGAAAUUACGUGAAUAAAAAACGGACAUACAACGAGAAUAAAAAAGAGAAACAACAACACUGAGACUCAGACGUGGAAACUUAUUCUCAAUAAAGAAACAAUCAUGGUUUGGAAGGAUCAGACAUUUCAAGAGACGAGCAGUCCCUUGAGGUAGCUCUCCGGUAUAUGGAAUAUCCGGUUUACAGUUCCAAAUGUUCUGUUUCGGGAUUUUCAAGAAACCUGCUGAUGUGCUGAUAGCAUCGAUUGCGUGAGCAAUGUCAUCUUUGUUACAAACUGUUGCAUAAUAGAACUCCCGAUGGGAAAGGAAUAAGGAAUUCCGCCCAUGCUAUACCUUUCUUUCCAUUGUUGUAAGACACAUCUUCUUGCUCAACUUUGUUUGACUAGCAAAGAGGCGUGCAGAUUGACAUAGCAUUAUUCAUGUUAAAGCAUUCAAGAACAUGUUCGAUGUACUUCUUUCUCAAACAAUCCUGUGUCUAGAAUUUGUUGUGCCAUGCCCAACCCAGUCCUCCAUGUCAAAUGACUUGGACAACACUCCCGUCAACUUGAUCAACUUCUUGUCUUGUCGUAUAAUAAUUUUCUCAUCCACAUGAAACGGAAUGACAAAGUUGUUUUCGAAAAUAACAAACGAGACUUUUUUUUUUGUGGGGAUCUCUCGUCUCUUUUUGCACGUUUUUAUCCAAUUUUGAAUUAGACGAAACCUUCUUAAGAUUUUUUUGGCUCCUCCCAUCACUAACGAGGACAUACUUGAGUAAGUAUACUUGGAUGAUUUUAUUCGUUGCCUUUUUGAUUUCCUCAGAGGCUGCUCUACUUCUUGAGUAGGAUGAGGUUGUUCUUUUUCUUCUGGAGUAGGAUGCUUGACUUGCUCGGCAUUAUCAUCGAGUGGCGUCCCUUCCUCAACAUCUUCAUCAGGGCGCUCUUUUUCUCAGCAACCUCGUCUACUCUUAGCUCUAGUGCUUUCUCUGCCUACAGUAUGGUCAGAAGUAGAAGUAAUGUAAUAAGAUUAUGACCUAUUUUUUUCUGGAAAUCGCCCACUGGUUAUUAUAAGUUACACAUCAUUUUCUCGGAACAGUAUAUCUCUGCUUCUGAUGACUCUUCUUUUCAGGAUCUCACAAUAUGUAACCGAUGAAUAUUUAAGAAGUGACUUUUUCAUCCUACUUCAUUCGUUGCUCCUGCAGUUCAUUUUGGAAGCUUUCACAAGAACUUCUUUAGCUUGGGAGUAGUACAUUCGUCUAAACUUUCUCCGGGAUAGCUAAACCCAGUGAAAUUGCUAGACUUCUGUUGAUCAAGUAAAGGUUGUCUGAUGAAGUCUGAACUGCUUCAUCCGAUAAUGACUUGGGCAGUUUAACCAUUUUGAGCAUGCUUCUCACCUUCUCAAUCAUGACACAUGCAAUUCAUCCUUUUAGUUACACCAUCGUGUUAUGGGGUUCCGGGAACUGUUUUUUCAUGUGUGACCCCAUGGCUUGAAUAAUACUUAUCAAAUUCCCUUGAAAUGUAGUCAUCUCUGUUGUCAGGUUAGCGACACGUUAAUGUUCAAUUAUACCUAGUUUUUUGUUCUCAAGAAAUAAACCCCAAUUUUCGUGAAGCAUCAUCAAUAAAAUUAUCAAAAUAUCUUUUAUGACCCAUUGGUUCUAUCUCAAUUAGACCAAAAACAUCCAAAUAUAAUCAAGUUUAUUCAAGUUUUUUUUCCGGUAAAUUCAUUCCAACAUAGUGGAGGGCAAUUCUUGUCGAAGUUGGCAGAGACCAUAUGAGAUGGGUGCAAGAACCAUCUUGCAAAUCGAAAGUGGAAAGUCACCAAGGACCACUUGCACUGUUUUGAGUCUUUGAGAUUAGUUGAGACCGGAGACGAUUUAAGUUACUCAUAUGUGCUGUUUGAGAUUAAUGAAAUUGUGUAGAAUAGCUCAGAAAGCUAGUCCUAGCAUCCAUUUGUUUUGGCUUGAAUUCCACCAACAGAAAAUCAUUAUCCUCGGAGCUUAUGGGAAGCAAAUUUGAUUUAUUAAGAGCUUUGGUGGAACAAAUUUUAUUUGCUAUGAUGAUUUUUUUCUUAAAAACAUCUUAUUAUCUGCGAAUUAAUGUUACUUGAUCUUAUGUGCAGCUCGAACUACAUUACGCAGCUGAGACAAAUGCCCUUCAGCCUCCACAUAAAUAUGUACCGUGGGUUGUCGUUGAUGGCCAACCACUUUAUGAAGUCAGUUUCUUUCUCCUCUUUAUUUCAGAACUUGCACUGUUCAUUAUCUAGUGUUAUAGUCCUUUCCUAGCUGUUUGUCAACUUAUGUUUUCGAAUUCAUUUCCUGCAUGCACAUCGACAACAAACCCCUUCCCCUAGAGUUGGAGCCCCGUGGAAGGGUAGGGGGUACACGUGCAUCUGUCAACUUCGGAAAAAAAUCAUGUAUAUAUGCGUAUGUAUACCUAACCAAGGAUCAUAUAUUUUGUUUGGCACCCUUUAGCACAAAUUUGGUGCAGUAGUUCAACUAGCAUCAUAGUUUUUGCAUUUUUCUCGUCAUUUUUUUCAAAAAAUGCAUAUAUGGGGUGAGUUUCAUCCUGGGCACCUCAAUGUGUAAAGUGAUACCAGAACUAUCAUACCAUACGUUAUUAUCUUGUUUGAUUUAUAUUUGUCCGGUAAAUUUGGUUUUAUGUUUGUUUAACACCGUUUCCAACGAAGCAGUGUCGGUGUCUUCGACUACAUGCAUCCCCUCUGGUGGUGCCUCUGUCGUCUUCAAAUCCCGAUUCCGCCUCUGCUUCCUCCGCACCCCCACCCCCAACCAGUGGCGGAGCCAAGAAGUUCAUUAAGGGGUUCGAAAGUGCACACAAGAACUAGCCGAAGGGGGUUCAACAUAUACAAUAUAUACAUAAAAAAUAAUUUUAACCAUGUAUAAAUAGUAUAAUUUUUCACCGAAGGGGGUUCGGCCCCCUUGAUAUAUGCUAGAUCCGCCACUGCCCCCAACCCCCACCUGCAUUUUCCCUGAAAAUUAUUUCAUUAUAAUAUGAGAGUUGCCAGCAUAUUCACCUUAAGGAGUGGACUUCAUCCUUCCGGGCUGAUUUAGAGUUUUUUACCUCUAAAAUUGCUUUGGCUCUCAACAGUUCCUCAAAGUCUUUCCUAUAUCUACCUCCUUUCCAAGUUUUUGUUUUGUACAAUUUUUAACUGGAAAAGGGACAAAUAUGCCCCCGAAUUAUGAUAAAUGGUACGUAUGUACCCUGCUCAUACUUUAGGUACAUAUAUGCCCCUACUGUUUGUGUGAGAGACAUAUACAUAACAUUUCAUUAAUGGUAGGGGCAUAUGCGUACCCAAAGUAUGACGGAGGUUAUAUACAUACCAUUUACCUUAGUUCGGGAGUAAAUUUAUCCCUUUUCCGACUUUUAACUGAUGUAAAUGGCUAAAUGCCCUCUAACGCAAGGGGGUAAUUAGAAGUUCCAUAAUCGAUUUCCCCAAUCAAGAAGAAUGGAGUAACUUAGAAGUCACCAGUUACGUUUUGCUGUAUGUAUAUUCUCCUCUCUAACAAUGUAUUUCAUUAACGGUAGGGGCAUAUGUGUACCCAAAGUAUGACGGAAGUUAUCAUAGUUCAGAGGUAUAUUUGUCCCUUUUCUGACUUUUAACCGGCGUAAAUGCCCUCUAACGCAAGGGGGUAAUUAGAAGUUCAAUAAUCGAUGGCCCGGAUCAAGAAGAAUGGAGUAACUUAGAAGUCACCAGUUACGUUUUGCUGUAUGAAUAUUCUCCUCUCUGACAAUGUAUUUCAUCGUUGCAGGACUACGAGGACUUCAUAAGCUACAUCUGCAAAGCGUACAAAGGAACUACUCCAGUCCCCGGUUGCAGCUCAUCCAUCAAUGUCAUUAAAAUGGGAAGGAAACUUAACUCUUUUUGCUUAAAGCAGACGGCCAUUUCCAAGUUGUCAACUAUAAGUUCAGCUAUUACAUCUUGGUUGAACCGCGCUAAGCUCACUGCAUCUGCAUAAUCCACCGGGAUGCUGUAUCGUGUUGUGUAUACUAUAGACCUCCCUCCUUGAUGCUGCUUUGUUUUAUGAAAUGAUGAGAUGCUAUAGUUGGUUUAUGCAUUUGUAAUGCAGUUGUUAAUGAUAGGAAUUGUUGUAAUAUGAGAAUUUGGUUCAAUUUGGGAUAUGUUUGAAGUAUGGAGUUUUAUAAGUUGUCUACAUCAAAGCAGCCACAUCCUUAGUCCAAGACUUAAAUUGAGUCGUUUCAGAAUGGAUGAGAUCUUAUUUUAUGCGCAUGCGUUUUGAUCCCCCUUUUUUUUGCAUGGCUGCACACACUUCAAAUCGAAGGUGAUGGAUUCAGUUGAACUUAGGAAACAGGCUUUAAAUUCGGCAAUUGACUAUGACUGGCAAUAUGAUUGGUUUGGGUGUGUGUGUGUGGGGUGGGGAGGAAGGGGGUUGAUAAUUUGGUUCAAUUUGGGAUAUAUGUUGGAAGUAUGGAGUUUUAUAAGUUGUCUACAUCAAAGUAGUCACGUCUCGAGUCCAAGGCUUAAAUUCAGCCGAUUCAGAAUGAGUGUGAUCUUAUUUUAUGCACAUGCAUUUUGAUCCCCUUUUCUUGCAUGGCAGCAGAUAGUUCAAAUCGAAGGUGAUGGAUUCAGUUGAGCUUAGAAAAUGGGCUACCAAUUCCUUGAUAUAAGCUAUAGUUUCACUGUAGUUUGUAUGAGUUCAGUUGUCCGGAUUCUUUAAAGGUAUUAUCAAUGCGUGUUAAAUCUUUUAAAGUAAUACAUUUUUUGAAGAUUUAAUAUGGGUUCGACAAUAUUUUUGAGGAAUUUAAACAUGUGAUUUGAGUGUAAGAUUACAAAUUGAUAGCCAAAAAAAGGGAGAAAAUAUGCCCUUUUUGCCCCUAUAUUGAGUUUUUAUAACUAUAUUUAUGUAUGUUAAUGAUAUGAGGCCUUUUGGCGCAGUUGUAUGAAUUUGGUUUAAAGCAUACAAUAUUACAUCAAGACUAUGUUUCGAUUGACUUAUAUUAGGUGUUUUUAUUCGAAAUUGUUAUAAAUAUAUUUACAUUAUACUAACUAUAUAAAUAAGAUCUAAUAAAAUCUAGUUGAUAUUUAUAUCUAUAUCUAGUUGAUAUCUAUCAGGAUUUGAAGUAUCUGUAACAAUCUAAUAAGAUCUAUCAAGAUCUAGUUGAUAUCUAUGAAUAUUUCAUCUGUCUUUUAGUCAGAAAAACUAGUAAGAUCUAUCAAGACCUAAUUGAUAUCUAUCAGUAUUUGAAGUAUUGUCUUUUAGUCAGAAAAACUAAUAAGAUCUAAUUGAUAUCUAUCAGUAUUUGAAGUAUUGUCUUUUAGUCAGAAAAACUAGAGGUAAAUUUUCCCUAUAAAUAGAAAGAAGUAUCUGUUUUUUAGUCAGAAAAACUAGGAGUAAAUUUUCCCUGUAAAUAGAAGGAAAGGAAGGACUUUCAUUGUAAAUCAUUCGCAAGGAUGUCAAUAGAAUGCGUCAGAAUUUUCUACUCUUCUUCCUUAUUCUUUAUUUUAUAUUUUAUAUCACGUUAGUCUCUAAUCAAUUGAGAAAUUAAUCACUAGCUGCACGAGUCUCUAAUCAAUUGAGAAAUUAAUCACUAGCCGCCACCGAAUGCUUUCCGUCUACUGCGGGCUCCAAAGAGGUAAAGCACAAAAUUAAGUAAGCUUUAAUAAAUUAGGCUAAGGAAAAGUCGUGUUGUCGGCUACUUGAGGUUCCUAUGUUAAGGGAACAUGUUUCUAAGUUGCAUUCUUAUUUCUGUCAACCUAAACAACUAUGUUUAACAAACUAUGAAAAUUUUAAAUUGAUUAUACCAAAUUUUCUAAGAGCUUUGUUUCCACCUGCCAAACUAAUUAUUUAUAUAAUAAAAUAAAGUGUCGAUUGCUUUAUAUUUAUAACACAAUUAGGGGUCGUUUGGUAGAGUGUAUUGACAAAAAUAAUGCAUGUAUUAAUUAAUAUGUAUUAUGAAUACCUUAUUUGGUACAAUUUUUAGUCAAUAUAUAACUAAUACAAACAUUAGUUAUACACUCUAUUGUGUAUUAAGGUGUGUAUUACUAAUACCGCCCAUUUUCAUUUUCUAUGUAUUAGUAAUGCAAAGUCUUUAAUACAUGCAUUAACUUGUUAAAUGACCUUAAUAUCCCUCAAUUUCUCUCUCAAAAUAUUUCACCAUUUCUUUUUCGGCCAUUUUAAUUUGCAAUAGUGAAUCUUUUCAAAACAUUUCACANNNNNNNNNNNNNNNNNNNNNNNNNNNNNNNNNNNNNNNNNNNNNNNNNNNNNNNNNNNNNNNNNNNNNNNNNNNNNNNNNNNNNNNNNNNNNNNNNNNNNNNNNNNNNNNNNNNNNNNNNNNNNNNNNNNNNNNNNNNNNNNNNNNNNNNNNNNNNNNNNNNNNNNNNNNNNNNNNNNNNNNNNNNNNNNNNNNNNNNNNNNNNNNNNNNNNNNNNNNNNNACUUUUUUAUAGAAAUUAUGUAAGAUGUAUUAUUUCUUAUACAUCAAACCAAAUAACGUAUAAGAAAUAAUACAUGUAUAACUAAUACAAGCAUAGGUAAUAUAAUCAUUACUAAUGUAAGGAUUACCAAUACACUAUAUUUUGCAUUGAUCUUAUACACUCUACCAAACGACUCCUUAGUGGUUAUCCGUUUUAAUCUUUAUUAACAUUGUCAAGGAUUAGCCGAGAAAUUGAAACUUAUAUAUGAUUACAUUGAGAUGAUAUUAUGAUCAAAUUUUUAUUUGUGGCUAUAAUUAAGAUUGGUCACAAUAUUUAUGAAAGACUCGGGUUUGAGUUCUAAUGCACUGGUUGAGGAUAAGAGGAUGGAUGUAAGUUUAAUCGAACUCACAAAAGAGUAAGACAUUGGGUUAGAGUCCCGAUGCACUAUGAUAAUAAAAUAUUAGUUUUAAGUCUCAUCGAUUUAUGUCUAAGACGCCUUUAUAUGGACAAGACAUUGAGUUUGAAUCUCAAUGUACCAUAUUGAUGAUAUAAUGAUGGUUAAGGUAAACCAAUAUGUUUUUGGUGAAAGACAUGAAAUUUGUCUCAUUGAAUGUGCUUCAUUCUCCGAAGUGAAUGUGCUAGCAAUUCACAAUAUGUAUGCCUCGAUUUGCUCUUGUAGUAGCAAUAUCGUGAGGUUAUAAGCUAGUAGUAGCAAUAUCGUGAGGUUAUAAGUUAUCAAAAUUUGAUAGGCUUAAGACACGAUUAUAUUUCAUUCCUGGAAAAUGAUAAGCUUAUUAACGCAAACGCGCACUUGAUUGUGAUGAUAUCACAAUUCACCUCCAAAAGAGGCUGAAUAAUUUUGAAAUCUAUUUCUGAAAUAGUAAAUCUGAUAUUUACUAAAGUAAAAGGUACAUGUUAUGAUAAACUUAGAGUUUGCUAGAAUAAAAAUUCAUAAAUUGACAUGAACAAUUGUGACAUCCCAAAGAUAUGCAUAGUGAGUAUUGUAUAUUGAAGAACUAGAAAAUUCUUCAUGAACUUUUGAUUUUGCUUGUUCUCAUGAUAAGUUGGUUGGACCAACUCAUGUUGGGAUUUGAUCCCUCAAAAUCAAAAUAUAAAAGGUGAAUAUGGGCCCGUUCACCUAUCAUGUGAUAUGUUGAAAAGAUGCAUCAAUAUUGAUGAUCAUAUGUACAUUCAUUGUCAAUCUACGUUUGACAUUCAUAAAGUUGCUUGCUCAAUAAAAUUGAGUUAAGAGCAUAAUUUUCAGAUUGCGUAAUCAAGUCAAUUCAUCUUGAUGAUGAUAGUUUGACAUUGAAUGCCUUCGAUAAAUAGCUAACCAUUGCUAAUGAGAACAAAGCUUCAUGUGUUGGUUUGAAAUAUUAUAUACAAAAGUACUUGUAUACAUCAAACCAAUAAAUUAUGAUCAAUUUCCCUCAAAGUUGGUUCUGAGUUAGGAACCACUCGUUGUCCAUCUAAUAAUUUUGAUGUGCGGUAUAUGAUUAAUGAAUAUACCAUGAUGCACAAAGAUGAAUUCUUCAAAGAAGAUGGAGCAUGUAUGCUAGUUUUCCUAACAUAAGGGGGAGAUUAUAAGUAGCUAUGAAAUAUGUUAGGAAUUAUCAUCAGAUCCCCAUUCAAAAGAUAAUUCAAGUCAAAUGUCGGAAGCAUCUGUUGACUUAAAUUUAGUAUCAUAUUUAAGCUACAAGUGCUCUUAAAGACAAAGUCUAUGCAUGCGUGAAGCAUGAUAGACCAAUCGAUUCCAAAUGAAAUGAUCCUUGAAAAGAAUAUGGAACAAAUAAUCAUAAUAAGAAGACAAUGUGCCCUUAAAGAGCCUACGACAUAACACUUCGUGAAACCUUAUGAAAGGUUUAGGUACCUGAAAAUAAUGAAGUGAUGAGAUCUCAAAAUGUUAUGUCGCAUUGUAAAUCGAUAUAAAAUGAGAAAUCGUCGAUAUCUUUGAUACAAUAUUGAUGCAAUAUUGGAAAAGACUACGAGGAUCUGAAUUCUAUGUUUAUUUAAGCAUGCUGACGUAGAAACAUUUAUCAAGUGACAUGAAAUGAUGUAUCUCGAUAAAUAUAACACUUAUUUGAUUUGCAGUCCAGACACUUGAAGAUGUCACACAUAUUGAUAUUGUCACUUAACAAAAAUCCAUAUGAAAAUCUCUAAAGGAUUCAAAAUACCUGAAGUAUAUUAAGUUUCUGAGAAACUUAUUUAUUAUUUUUAUAAGGGAUAAAUUGAUGGUCUAAAUAUUGUUGAAACUCUUGGAGAAUUUUCAAAAGCAAUAGAAUAUUUGCUGAAAUUAGAAAUAUGAAGUACCAUAUCUUAGUGCCAUUGAUGCAAAACACUAAUGUAUCUUGCAAAUACUAUUAGGCAUAAUAUAGCCUUUUCAGUCAAUUUGUUAGCAAUGUAUAUUUCUUCCCCUACUAGGAGACAUCAAAAUGGGAUAAAAGACAUGAGCUUAUUUUAUUCUAAAGAUUGAAGUCCCGAUCUUAUUAGUCAUGCUAAUGUUGGGUACUUAUUUGACCUGCAUAAAUUUUGGUCUCAAACAUGCAAUGUGUUCACAUGUGAGAACACUGUCAUAUCUUGGAGACAUGCAAAGCACUCUAUCUAGUCACUUCAUUGAACUAUGAUGAUAUAAUAGCUAUUAAUAAAGCUAGCCGAGAAUGUGUAUGAUUGAGAUCCAUCAUACAUGCCAUUCGAGAAAGUUAUGAUUUGAAAUAUGAAAAUGUACCCACUGUCUUAUACAGAGAUAAUGCAGUAUGCAUAACACAUCUUAAUGGAGGAUUCAUAAAAGGAGAUACAACGAAGCAUAUUUCGCCAAAUCUCUUUUAUACAUAUGAGCUCUAAAAGAAUGGUGAUGUUGAUGUACAACAGAUUCAUUCAAGUGACAACGUGGCUAAUUUAUUUACCAAGCCUCUUCCAAUUGCAACUUUCAAGAAGAUGGUGCGCAAGAUCAGAAUGCAAAGGUUUAAGGAUGUUCUUAUUAGGGGGAGCUAAUACGCGCUGUACUCUUUUUCCCUUACGAGGUUUUGUCCCACUGAGUUUUUCUUGUAAGGGUUUUAAUGAGGCGACCUAUAUGCAUAUUGUUAGAUAUGUGUACUCUUUUUACUUCACUAAAUUUUUUUUCCUAUUGGAUUUUUUCUAGUAAGGUUUAACGAGGCACAUUAUCUAUCAAUUAGACAUUGAAGGGGGAGUGUUAUAAAUACAUUUACAUUAUAGUGAAUAUCUAUAUAGAUAAGAUCUAAUAAGAUCUAUCAAGAUCUAAUUGAUAUCUAUCAGGAUUUGAAGUAUCUGUCUUUUAGUCAGAAACUGGGAGUAAAUUUUUCCUAUAAAUAGAAUGACUUCCUUCAUUGUAAAUCAUCCUCAAGGAUGUCAAUAGAAUCCUUCAGAGAAAUAAGAAUUACUCUCUAUAUUCUCUCUACUCUUCUUCUUGUUCUUUAUUUUGUAUUUCAUAAUAGAAAUAACUUUUAAGUACUUUUAUUAUGUUUGGAUAAGAUUAAAAAAGUCCUUUUAAACAAUUAUUUUUAAGUCAAAAUAACAAAAACAAGCUAAAAGUCAUGUCACUAUUUAUAAGUAUUACUCUCUCCAUUUCAAAAAAAUGAUAUAUUUUAACUUGAGACGAAAAUUAAAAAAUAAAGAAAACUUUUAUUGUGUUUGAAUAAGAUUAAAAGAAAAAUGCUUUUAAACAAUUAUUUUCAAGCCAAAAUAAUAAAAUCAAGCUAAAAGCCAUAAGUUAUGACUUAUAAUUCUCUUCGUUUAAAAAAGAAUGACAUAUUUUAACUUGACACGAAUUUUAGAAGAAUAAAGAAGAUUUUUGAAUCUUGUAGUCUUAAAUUAAAGAUGUGUUAAGUGUACUAAAUGACCUUUAAUUCUGUGGUCUUAAACAUAUCAUCUGAAAAAUUGAAAUUAAAGAGUUGCUAAAAAAGAAAAAGGAUCAUUUUUUAAGCGACUUGAAAAAGAAAAGUAAGUCAUUCUUAAUUUUUAGGGCAAACAACAUAAAUUCCAACAGUUUGGAGUUAAUUAUAUAAAAUCCCACAUUUUGCAUAAUUACUGAAAAUCUCAAUUUUGGGUCUGUCGAGAUACAUAAUUAGCUCCUGAUACAUCCAAGGAAGAUACAUUUUUUCCUUUGUAAAGAUACAUAAUUAGCUCUCGAUAUUUUUUUUUUCGAUUUUGGGUCUGUCGAGAUACAUAAUACAUCCAACAAAAAUAUAUUUUUUUUGUAAAGAUACAUAAUUAGUUUCAGAUAUAUUUUUUCUGAUUUUGGGUCUGUCGAGAAACAUAAUUAGCCCCCGAAUACAUUCAAUGCUGAUACAUAAUUAGUUGAAAUUUAUAAUUACUUUACAAGGAUAGAGAUUUGUAUAAAUAUGGUAAGUUAAGAUGUAUGUUUAUGUUAUUUUUUCUAGUUUUUUUCGAGUAAGAGGUAAAGCCCAAGGUUUUUGAACAUAAGAACAUAAUUUGUUUUACAUAAUAAAUUUGUAAACAUUUAAAUUCGUUAGAAGUCAUCAAAAUCACCUUAAACUAUAUUCUAAAAGUCGAAUACACACUUAAACUAUUGAAAUGACCUCAUACACACCUUUACAAUCAAAAAGUGAAUUUAAUUCCACCCUACAAGCUGAUGUGGCAUAAAAAAUAAAGAUAAAGAAAAAUAGGCGUGUUUAUUACAAUUUGUUCCUUUUAUUUUAUUAUUUUCACACCUCUUUUACCUUUUUUAAUUCUUUCUUUACUCUAUCUUCAUCACUUCCCUUUCUUUUUUCUUAAUAGUACCCAACAACACCAUUUUCACCAUAGACUACAAACCUAACAUAUCUUUAGAGAAAAUUUAACUUAUCUCUGCCCCAUUUCUCUCAAUAUCAUAACAAACCUUCAUAUAUAUAUAUAUCUUACAAACCUUCAGAUUUUAUUUUUAUUCUUUCUUUUCACGAAUUUUUUUUUAUACCUACUUUAUUAAAAGAAAUCAUUACAAGUUAAAUAUAAACAAUUACAAGAAAUAAAAACUUUUUGAUGAGGAAGCAAUAUCCAUCUCAUCGGACAAAUAUAAAUUUUUCAUUAUUCUUUAUCGAGGAUUCUUUUUGGUAAACUCAAUGUGGUAUUCAUUUAUCCCACGUAUUUAAUCUUUUUCUUCUUCCUUUUUCUGCUAAAAUCUCAUAAAUUAGCGUUUAAAUUAAAGAUAACUAUUAUAUUAUCGAUAAAUUUAAAAUUUUCACCAACUUACUAAUUGAUUUAUUAAUCUAGUUUCUCCCAAUCUAUAAAACUCUAAGAAAAAAAUCAUCAAUAAAAUUAAAAGUAAAGAGAAUGAGGUUUUAAAGAAAAGUAACUGUGUAGAUAUUAAUGACGGAUUUGUUAGUGGUGGGUGACGAACAAGAAAAACACGAUAAUGAUAAUGGUAGUGAAUUGCAAAGAAGAAGAAGAAGAAAUUGAAGUUGUGUGAUGGUGGAUUUGCUAUUGGUAGUGAGGAGAAAAAUAAGCGGUGAUGAUGAUGGCCGGUUAACAGCGUAUAUGGUGUUUCCGAUGAGAUGAGAGAUGGAGAGGGUGGGAUGGUUUAUUGAUGAAGAAGAUAUAAUUAUUUGAGGAUUUUAAUGGUUAAUUAGGAAUUAAUAAGGGCAAAAUAUAGCUAAUAAAAGAAAAAAAGAAAAAAAUGAAAAAAAUAAAAUUUAUAAAAUUUCUGACAUGAAGCUGACGUGGUGCUAAAGUGACAGGCGAGUAUAAUGUACCUUCCAUUAUGUGACUGAUUGAAUAUGCAUCGGGGUAGAGUUAAAUUCACUUUUCAAUAGUGCAGGUAUUUAUUAGGUCACUUCACUAGUUUAAGUAUCAAUUCAACUUUUUGAAUAUAAAUUAAAGUGAUUUUGAUGACUCUUUCCAUUAAAUUCCCUUUUUAUAAAAGGUAUGGGAUUGCCAUAUGGCUAUUUGACUUUAGACGUGAUAUUUCAUGUGAGGUAGCACAAUAUAAAAUGUAGAGCAUUUAUUUAUUACACGAUUUAUUUUUAUUUAUUUAUUUAUAUUAUUUUUCAUUUUAGUCCGUAUAGAAAACAUCCUUUUUUCUUAUUUAACAAUUCUUUAUUUUGAACAUUUCACAUUACAUGUUUAAAACCACAAAAUUAAAGAAUUUUUUCAUAUAUUAUACACAUAAUUUAAAAUUUACAAGAUUUAAUUAUUUUUUUUUCUAAAAUUUCAAACUCAGUCAAAUUAAAAUAAACAAAUGAAAUAAGUAUUGGAAAGUGGUACUUGAUUAGUGAUAAUAUCGAUGAGAUCUGGAUUAGCUUUUGAAUAAAAUAUAAUUCACGUCGAUUUUUUUUAAUUGUUAUUCAAGACAGCUAAUAGUCACAUUAUUCCAAUGCGAAAUGUAUUGGUAAGCAAUUACAAAAAAAAAAUAUAUAAUCUAAAUUUACUAAUAGUCAUAUGUAGUAGUGUGCAAGUCAUAAUAUUAUUUUUUAAACCUUAAUGUCUUGCAUAUUGGUUGAUUAAGCAGUUUAUUUAUCAUUUUAAAAUUCCCGUUUUCAAUGGGGGUUGGCAUUAUGGUUUUUGAGUGAUAUUGAUAUUUUAAAAAUGAACAAAUUAUAAUAAUAAUAAUAUCAUAUAUUAAAAAGAAGCACACAUUUCAUUGAGUUUAACUUACCAAAAAAAAAAACAGCAUUAGUUUGGAUGGUUGUUGGAUAUUAUUUCAUAACAAUGUAUUAUAUUGUGUUAUAUUGCAUUGUAGUGUUCUUGUUGACAAAUAUUAUUGUUGGAUAAAUUGUGACAUUUCUCAUUAUUAUAUAAUGUAACAAUGAAAUUACAAAUACAAAUAUAAAAUACUUCCUUAAAAAUACAAGUGUAUCAAUGAAAAUAAAAUGUAAAUAUAAAUAAAAUAAAAUCAUAAAAUACAAAUAAAAUAUGCAGUCAACUAUAUAGUAUAAAUAAAAAAAAAUUCUUUAAAUAUAAGUAAGAAUUAUAUAAAAUAUAAAUAAUAGUACGAACUAUAAAAUACAAAUAUAAUUAUAUCAAUGAAUAUAAUAAAAUAAUGGUGUGAAUACAAAUACAAUAAAAGAUUGUGGUAGUUUCAUUAUUAUUCAUGACUUGUGAUGGACAUAGUCAUAUUUCUCCAAACAUAGAAAAAAUAAUGUUAGACAUGAGCAAUUAGAAAGACAAAAUAUAAGAAAAGUAAGAUAAAAUAUAAAGUUAUCAUAAUUUUUUUUUGCUAAUAUUGGUCCAUUUUAUUCUUUUUAUUUUUUGGGUGACACAAUAAACAAGUGGUAAUUUUAAAAUUGGUUUCAUAACUGUUAUAAGUUGUCUACUUUUGCUAUGAUAAUGAUUUCAUAAAGUCAAAAACACAAAUUUUCCCAAAUCCCAUCAUCUCAAAAUGAAAAUUUCUUUAUCAUUUUUCCUAGUUACCUUCCUAUGCUUUAACCAUUUUUCAUUCAUUUCUUGUGAGAAGAAAGUUUCAUUGACUUUAUAUUAUGAAAGUUUAUGUCCUGGUUGUUCUAAUUUUAUUGUUAAUUACUUACCUAAGAUAUUCAAGAAUGGGAUAAUUGAUAUUGUUGAUCUUAAACUUGUUCCAUGGGGCAAUACAAA